rnacentral:rRNA from 1 species
CCUACGGGAGGCAGCAGUGGGGGAUAUUGCACAAUGGGGGGAACCCUGAUGCAGCGACGCCGCGUGGGUGAAGGAGUGCUUCGGCAUGUAAAGCCCGAGCGGCAGGGAAGAAGCAAGACGGUACCUGACUAAGAAGCCCCGGCUAACUACGUGCCAGCAGCCGCGGUAAUACGUAGGGGGCGAGCGUUAUCCGGAUUCACUGGGUGUAAAGGGAGCGUAGACGGCCAUGCAAGCCAGGGGUGAAAGCCCGGGGCCCAACCCCGGGACUGCCCUUGGAACUGUGCGGCUAGAGUGCGGGAGGGGCAGGCGGAAUUCCUGGUGUAGCGGUGAAAUGCGUAGAUAUCAGGAGGAACACCGGCGGCGAAGGCGGCCUGCUGGACUGCGACUGACGUUGAGGCUCGAAAGCGUGGGGAGCGAACAGGAUUAGAUACCCCUGUAGUC